AGUGAACGCUGGCGGUAGGCCUAACACAUGCAAGUCGAACGGCAGCACAGUAAGAGCUUGCUCUUACGGGUGGCGAGUGGCGGACGGGUGAGGAAUACAUCGGAAUCUACUUUUUCGUGGGGGAUAACGUAGGGAAACUUACGCUAAUACCGCAUACGACCUACGGGUGGAAGCAGGGGAUCUUCGGACCUUGCGCGAUUGAAUGAGCCGAUGUCGGAUUAGCUAGUUGGCGGGGUAAAGGCCCACCAAGGCGACGAUCCGUAGCUGGUCUGAGAGGAUGAUCAGCCACACUGGAACUGAGACACGGUCCAGACUCCUACGGGAGGCAGCAGUGGGGAAUAUUGGACAAUGGGCGCAAGCCUGAUCCAGCCAUACCGCGUGGGUGAAGAAGGCCUUCGGGUUGUAAAGCCCUUUUGUCGGGAAAGAAAAGCAGCAGGUUAAUACCCCGCUGUUCUGACGGUACCCAAAGAAUAAGCACCGGCUAACUUCGUG
rnacentral:rRNA from 1 species